rnacentral:SRP_RNA from 7 species
UGUUGGUUCUCCCGCAACGCUACUCUGUUUACCAGGUCAGGUCCGGAAGGAAGCAGCCAAGGCAGAUGACGCGUGUGCCGGGAUGUAGCUAGCAGGG